rnacentral:lncRNA from 1 species
AUGGUUGCCAGGGUAGCGGUUUUCCGCACAAUUGGGCUAUUUUAGAAAAGGAGUUGUGGGAAAAAAUACGGAGUUGCGGGUUGCGGUUUUUUGGGCUACAUUUAUAAUGUACCGCGGCCGCAAAAAAAUAAAUAAAAAUAAAAUAAAAUAAUUGUGGACAAAGAUAAAAGUGAACCUUUUAUUAGUGGGUGUUGAUCCCCGGGAAUGAAUACUUGGCAACAAACGCUGCUUCUCGCGAGAUGCUUUGACAUCACAAAUCAAGACAAGCAUCAUCAUCACGUCACUCACAUCAUGAGAGCGUUGUAGUCAGAAGCGUCGGUUCGGUUGUCUGUGGAUGAACAAGCAGCAUUCUAAAAUGUCAGGGAGAUGUAGGAAAAGCAGAGCAACAGUGGAGAGUAAUUCACACUCUGGAAUGGAACAAUGCAGAAGAUGGCAAAACAGAGGACUUCUGGGUAGAAGUUUCUGCAUACAAAGAUACUGCAGGUGAUAGAAACUUUGAAGAUCUUGGGAAUUUUGUAUUGAGUCUUCUUGCUCUACCAUUCAGCAAUGCAGCAGUUGAGCGUUCAUUUUCCCAAAUGUCACUGUUAAAGAACAAGCUACGAAACAGGCUAGAGCAGAAUUCUUUGCUAAAUAUAAUGAGGAUUCGAGCUUACAUGCAAAGAAGAAACAUAUGCUGCCAUGAAUUUAAACCAUCACCACGGAUGCUUUCUCUCUUUACUGCUGAAAUCUAUUCAGCACCACCUGAGAAGGGUGGGGAAGAGAGCACCAAUGUCUAAAAUAAAACAGUCCUGAGAUUGUAUAUAGUUCUGUUCAAAUCUGUAAUCAAAAUGAGGCUGCACAGUUAGACCAUCUAAUAAGAAAAUGUUGUGAAAAGUUCUGAAAAAAGAGAAGACAAACAACAACAAAAACAAAGGGACAAGUGUUCAAGUUCACCCAGUAAGCAUAUUUAGACCAUCUAAUAAGAAAAUGUUGUGAAAAGUUCUGAAAAAAGAGAAGACAAACAACAACAAAAACAAAGGGACAAGUGUUCAAGUUCACCCAGUAAGCAUAUUUGUAAUAAUAUUGAUAAAAGCCAGUGUAUGUUAAUUUAGUUUAACAGUGUGUUAAUUUUAAUAUUGAUGCUUGUGUGUAAACAGAAGAUCUGGAGAUCUGGAGAGAAAAGCAUCAGAGAGAAGUGCUGAGAAGAGAAAAAGUAAGUACAAGUUAGUACUUCUGACUAGGGUCAGAAAAUAUCAGAGAGGAUAUGUUCUUAUUUGACCUUUAUUGUAUGAGAUUGUGUAUUAAAAAAACACAGUGUGUGAUAUUAAGAAUUUGGGUAAGACAAAAGGCGAAUACUUUAAACUUAAACUUAUAUAAAUUUAUUUUAAGGCCCUCUGUGGGAAUCCAGCCGUUGUCUAAUCUGAUUGGACACUGAAAAAUUGGGCUAGUUUUUAUUCCAUUUGGGCGGGUUUUGAGUUGUCAUUGGGCUGGAAAUAUUUCUGGGACCUGGCAACCCUGCUCGUCUAUUUACUCGUGCGGUUUAUAAUACUGUUUUAGCGUCUUGGUUGGCAGCCCGUAUCAAACAGUACCUCUGUACAUUCAGGUCUACAACAGAGAAGUUCUACAACAAAAGGCCUAAUUUGGCCUACCACAAUAUUUCCAUUUCACAACAGUUUGGCAUAUAACCGAACCAUAACAGAAGUGCAACUUUAUCAUUAUUAUAAAUGAACCAGUUUUAACUAUUAAUAGUAGUAAAAUAAAAUUAACAUCUGUAAACUAUGGAAAGUGAUUAAUCCCAUAGCCUACAUAAAUCACAUCGAUUGAAAUAUAAUAAUAAUAAAUAGAUAUUUAUAUAUUUAAAUAUCUUGAAUUUGAAUAGAAGAAAAUAUAUUUUAUACAAUAUAGGCUAUGUAAAUAUAUUUUUAUCAACACCAGAUCAACAUGAACCAACAAAAAUUAUGAAUGCUUAUGAAGUUUCUGGCACAUAAAUUAAAGAUAAUCCUAAGUAUUCAGG